AUAAGCAAGGACCACCUUGCAAGGCUAAAUACUCCUGGGUGACCGAUAGCGAAGUAGUACCGUGAGGGAAGGGUACUAAGAACCCC
rnacentral:ncRNA from 1 species